rnacentral:misc_RNA from 1 species
GAUGAAGAACGUAGCGAAAUGCGAUAAGUAGUGUGAAUUGCAGAAUUCCGUGAAUCAUCGAAUCUUUGAACGCACAUUGCGCCUUCUGGUAUUCCGGAAGGCAUGCCUGUUCGAGAGUCAUUAACAACCGUUUCGAUCCCUUUCUUUCAGAAAUUACAAAGAGGAAAAGGGUUUGGUUAUGGUGGAGGAGGGAAAGGGAGCGUUUAGCCUGUAAAAAAAGAGGCUGUGUUCCGCCUCCCCCCAAAAAUUGUACAGGCGGUCGUGUGCGCCCACGCAUCGAGGUGUUGUAAAAGCUGCCACGGCACUUUUCACCUGUGCAGUGCGAGAUUGGCCAGCCGGUUUAAAAACCCCUCCAAACAAUCAAAGGUUGACCUCGGAUCAGGUAGGGAUACCCGCUGAACUUAAGCAUAUCAAUAAGCGGAGGA